rnacentral:lncRNA from 1 species
GUGAAUCUUGACAAAUUACACGGUUCAACCAUCACAUAAAAACUUGAGUAUAGACUUGCGCCUCCAUUCUCCUUCGAUCUGAGAAAUACACUGCGCCUUCACUGUUGCGCCUUCACUGCUGCACCUUCGCCUCCAUUCUCCUCCGUCGCUGUUGCGCCUUCGCCUCCGUCGCUGUUGCGCCUUCGCCUCCAUCGCCUUCGCCUCCGUCGCUGCUGCGCCUUCGCCUCCAUCGCUGCGGAUCGUUUUGCAUCUGUUGGGACCUUUGCGUGGGUUUGCGUUGCCUUUGCUGCGCCUCCAUCGUUUUGCUGCUUCUCUUGGAGGUCUGCUUCUCGUUUUGCUGCGUCUCUUGGAGGUCUGCUGCCUAGCGAAUCUGAGAAACGAUUUGGGUUCAAAGGUAAACAAUUUCAUUUCUCCCUCUUGUUCAUCUCUAAGCUUGGAAUUUAGCAAUAUUUGUAUGCCUUCUUGUAUCAUUUUUCUGGGUUUUGCCAAGUAAAUAUGUUCAAAAUUUAGACUUGGGAGUUUUGCGUAAACAUAAGCUUAUAGUUCUAAGUUGACAUUGUGAUACAAAUGGGUAAAUGAUUAGGAUUAGAGCAUUUGAUUUUUGCUGUUGGUUAGGGUUGAGUAUAAGCUUAUGUUUUUGGCUGUGGCCUGUGGCAGGGUUUAGUAGAAUUUAAUUAUGUGCUUGUGGAUGUGGGUAUUGCUUAUUUAUACAUGAUACAGAAUACAAAGGAAGGUUUAUAUGGGACAAGGUACAGGUGGGUAAUAGGGACUAGAGAAGUUAGUGAUUUGUAUCAAUAAGCUAGGUUGUGAAGAUUCAUAUCAGUAUUAGAUGCAAAAGAGGAGUCUUGUGAAAGAAGAACAUAAAAUGAUCAUUGCAGAACCUUCAUCUGAAACUAAGCUCAUACAAUCAUAAAGAGAUGCAAUAAGAAGAAACUACUAAUUGUGCAAUUAUGUUAACGAAUUAAUCAGCAGAUCAAAUUUAUGACAUAGACACAUGCGUGUUUUCCCCUGUUAAUGACUGAAGUGGCAAAAAUGCCUUAGUUUCUACAUUAUCCACACCAUCGUUCCGUUUCACUGUAAAAUCUUGCUAAUUGGAAGUAACCUAGUCUAAUAUAUAGCUAUCUUUGCAUUCCCUGUGUGAUGAGUGUUCAUGAGAUUGAAGUUUACAAUUAGGAAAUUUUAAUCAACCUUCAGAAAGUAUCCAAUUAGGAUUUUGUAUACUUUCUUAUGUGGUUUCUUAUGUUUUCUCUGCAAUAUACUCAAUAUCAUUUUUACAAUCGACUACCUUCAUUGAAGUUGAUAUAUAUAAUACCAUCACCCUUGAGAAUAUGGAACCAUAUCUAAUAACACUACACUUGAACAUGUAUGAACCGUAUGUACACUACACUUGAACAUUUAUAAACCAUUCAUUGAAAUUCAUGCAUCAGUAUAUAGUGGUACUCAUUCCUUGCAACUUUUGUAAUGAAGUACCCAAUCUCCUAGAUUAAACUGAAAACAACACAUUAAUGAUUCUGGAAAUCAGAAAAUUACCUUGUAUAUAUUUGGAGCUUGCCAAUUGGGAUUCAUACCGGAAUUUAGUCUGCAUACUGCAGGAACACCAGUAUAAUAUGCUGCCUUUGCUUAAUUGCUUAUAUUCCAAUGAAGCUUUAUCAGGAUGAGAGGAAAAUGCAUUGUUUUAGUAGCUAUGAAAGCUAGUGAUCAUUGAGCAACAAGCCAAAUGCAUUCCAAAUGCAUUUUGUAUGUGAAAACAGACAAAAUAAUAAAAAGUUAAAGUAAAAACUAGACCAUGUAUGCGAGAGUUUUACGGGGUGUAGAUCAACUAGAUGAAGUAAUGGCUUUAGCUUGUGUUUGGUGCUGUAUGCCAGAAGGUUUAGGCUCCAGGGAUUAGUCUUGCCAGCACCUGCAAAUGUAUUCAUGUAUUGCUUAUAAAAGUAUGAUACAAUUUGAUACAGCUAGUGUGUGUGUGUGUAUAUAUAUUUUGAUCGGAUGGACUUUGACGCCAAAAAAAAAAUAGAGAAGAAGAAGGAACAGCUACUAAUAAGCUAGAGCUAGCAUGAUAAUGUACAUAAUUAGACGAAACGAGCGAGAGACUGGUCUGGUACUUUAAACUGUAAAUGACACAGUUAGUAGCAGUAGGUAAGUAGGAAAGCAGGGAGUGGUGGAUUCAAAAUGAAUGAUUCAUAAAAUAAAGUAAAACGGUAGGUGUAGACCAAAUUUUACAGUUAGUUGUCAUGUUUAGUAUAUAACUAUAAUAUAUGCACCUGAUUAAUAAACAAAGUCAGCAUGUUAUAUAUCAUUUUGCUACGUAGUAAGUAGUACACAAAUACAAGUUGGGGAUAUCACUACAUAAUGGCAUGGCUAGCUAGGAUUGAAUUAUUGGCUAGCUAGGACCAUUAAUAUGGAUCGAUCAUAAAUAUAGUAGUGAUAGCUAAGCAAAAAAAAUCUGUGGCCAUAUGAAUUGGGGGGUUUUGGACAGAGACGUAGUGAUGGUGCAGCACCUGCAAAUGUUGGUGUUUUAGUAGAAGAAACCAAAGAUGAUAAAAAGGUCGUUGCUUGGUCUCUUAGAUAUGAUAUGAUUUGACCUCCAUUUGCAUGCAUUAGAAUUGGAUUAGUGCUUGGUAGGUUAUUU